ACCGGAUUGGUGAAAAGGAGAUCACACCUGGCUACGAACUAGGUGUUGGGGGUUCGAGUCCUCCAUCCGGUACCA
rnacentral:tRNA from 2 species